rnacentral:rRNA from 1 species
GAUGAACGCUGGCGGCGUGCCUAAUACAUGCAAGUCGAGCGAACCACUUCGGUGGUGAGCGGCGAACGGGUGAGUAACACGUAGGUGAUCAGCCCAUCAGACGGGGACAACGAUUGGAAACGAUCGCUAAUACCGGAUAGGACGAAAGUUUAAAGGUGCUUCUGGCACCGCUGAUGGAUGAGCCUGCGGCGCAUUAGCUAGUUGGUAGGGUAAAGGCCUACCAAGGCAACGAUGCGUAGCCGACCUGAGAGGGUGAACGGCCACACUGGGACUGAGACACGGCCCAGACUCCUACGGGAGGCAGCAGUAGGGAAUCUUCGGCAAUGGGCGAAAGCCUGACCGAGCAACGCCGCGUGAAUGAUGAAGGCCUUCGGGUUGUAAAAUUCUGUUAUAAGGGAAGAACGACUUUAGCAGGAAUUGGCUAGAGUGUGACGGUACCUUAUGAGAAAGCCACGGCUAACUACGUGCCAGCAGCCGCCGUAA